UACGUAGGGGGCUAGCGUUGUCCGGAAUCAUUGGGCGUAAAGCGCGCGUAGGCGGUCAGGAAAGUCCGGUGUGAAAGUCAUAGGCUCAACCUAUGGAUGCCGCUGGAAACUGCCUGACUUGAGUCCGGAAGGGGCGAGUGGGAUUCCUGGUGUAGCGGUGAAAUGCGCAGAUAUCAGGAGGAACACCGGUGGCGAAGGCGGGACUCUGGGCCGAUACUGACGCUGAGGAGCGAAAGCGUGGGGAGCGAACAGG
rnacentral:rRNA from 1 species